UUUUUUAAUUUUUAUUUUUUCUCAAUGUUUUGGUUGUAUUUUGUCCUAGGUCUAUUCGUAUUGCUAAUAUUUUUCAAAGGAUUCUUUUCCACGGGAGACGAAGAUAUCAAUAGAUCAAAGGGAGUCCCAAUACUCCACUCACACAGACCAAUACUACAACAGUACAAAUCAAAACUCCAUCGCUCAAAGAAGAAUAAAGAGACUAGGAAUGAGGUUGUGCCCACUUCAAAAUGAACAAUGGUUACACAAGAGUUUGUGGUCACUAGGCAAACCCAGUUGUUUACCAGUUGUUCGCUGAAUUUUUCACAUUUCAUCACAGUCUACUGGUGAUAGAUGAUACCUUUGAUGACUGACUAUAAUGAAAUGUUACCAUGGGGAAACUCAAUUAAUUCAUCUGUCAAUGUAGUCAGUGGUUUUGGCGUCGGUCAUCUUCCUUAGUAUUCAAGUAUAGUAGUAUUACCUCAUAUUAAUGAUACUAUAGUGUAAGCUGGCCUUUAAUGGCUUCUCUUUUUAUCACUGUUCUCAUUCGUAAACACAAAAUACUAUAACACAUACUUCACCUUUACCACAAUCUAUUGAUGUCUUUCACUCAUAAAACCUCUAAUUUAAUUAAUAUAUUGUAUUAGUAAUGAUUCCAUCUGACAUGAUAUAGAACU